AGGGGCCCCUUUCCUACAACCCUGAUUCUAGACCUCCAGACUUUCAUAUCAAGGGUCAUGUCCUCGGAAACCUGCAUUCUAGCCAUGUCCUGCCUAAUCACCUCUCCCCGAUACUUCUUAGGCCUCCCUCUGCCUCGCCGACCGCCAACAAUCUCCAGCCGCUCGCAGCUCCUCACCGGGGCAUCGGGACUUCUCCUCCGCACAUGCNN
rnacentral:lncRNA from 1 species